rnacentral:rRNA from 1 species
AGGGAAUAUUGCGCAAUGGGGGAAACCCUGACGCAGCAAUGCCACGUGAGUGAGGAAGGCCUUCGGGUUGUAAAGCUCUGUCCUAUAGGAAGAACGGCUUUGGGUAACGCCAAAGUUUGACGGUACUAUAGAAGAAAGCACCGGCUAACUCCGUGCCAGCAGCCGCGGUAAUACGGAGGGUGCGAGCGUUGUUCGGAUUUACUGGGCGUAAAGCGCGCGCAGGCGGACUAGCAAGUCAGAUGUGAAAUCUCGGGGCUCAACCCCGAAACUGCGUCUGAAACUGUUAGUCUAGAAUCUCAUAGGGGGUAGGGGAAUUUCACGUGUAGGGGUAAAAUCCGUAGAGAUGUGAAGGAACACCUGAGGCGAAGGCGCCUGCCUGGAUGAGUAUUGACGCUGAGGCGCGAAAGCGUGGGGAGCAAAC